GUGAACGUUGGCGGCGUGCCUAACACAUGCAAGUCGAGCGUGAGAGUCCUUCGGGAUGAGUAAAGCGGCAGACGGGUGAGUAACGCGUGAGAAUUUUCCUUUCAGUGAAGAAUACCUUUGGGAAACUAAAGUUAAUACUGCAUACGUCUCGAAAGAGAGAAAGAUGGCCUCUUUGCUGUCGCUGAAAGAUAAGCUUGCGUUCUAUUAGCUAGUUGGUGAGGUAAUGGCUCACCAAGGCGAUGAUGGAUAGCCGGCCUGAGAGGGCGAACGGCCACAUUGGAACUUAGACACGGUCCAAACUCCAACGGGAGGCAGCAGUGAGGAAUAUUGCACAAUGGGCGAAAGCCUGAUGCAGCGACGCCGCGUGGAGGAUGACGGUCUUCGGAUUGUAAACUCCUGUUAAGUGUGAAAAAAGACUUACUUUUAAUAGAAGUGAGGGAUGAUUGUAGCACUAGAGAAAGCACCGGCUAACUUCGUGCCAGCAGCCGCGGUAAUACGAGGGGUGCAAACGUUAUUCGGAAUCACUGGGCGUAAAGGGUGCGUAGACGGUAAUAUAAGUCAAUUAUUAAAUCUCCUGGCUUAACCAGGAAUCUGUGAUUGAAACUAUAUUGCUUGAGGAUGGAAGAGAGAAGUGGAAUUCUCGGAGUAGCGGUAAAAUGCGUAGAUCUCGAGAGGAACACCGAUGGCGAAGGCAGCUUCUUGGUCCAUUUCUGACGUUGAGGCACGAAAGCGUGGGGAGCAAACAGGAUUAGAUACCCUGGUAGUCCACGCUGUAAACGAUGAUCACUAGAUGUUAGGUCCGUUUUAGGGCUUAGUAUCGCAGCUAACGCGUUAAGUGAUCCGCCUGGGAAGUACGGUCGCAAGAUUAAAACUUAAAGGAAUUGACGGGGGUCCGCACAAGCGGUGGAACAUGUGGUUUAAUUCGACACUACGCGAGGAACCUUACCUAGGCUUGACAUGCAUUUGACAGGUAUAGAAAUAUAUUCUUCUAGGCUUCGGUUUAGACAUUUGCACAGGUGCUGCAUGGCUGUCGUCAGCUCGUGUCGUGAGAUGUUUGGUUAAGUCCUCUAACGAGCGCAACUCCUAUCACUAGUUGCAACCCUUUAUUGGGGCACUCUAGUGAAACUGCCUGGGAAACCAGGAGGAAGGUGGGAAUGACGUCAAGUCAUCAUGGUCCUUACGUCUAGGGCUACACACGUGUUACAAUGGCUAGUACAAAGAGUUGCAAGCUUGUAAAAGUAAGCUAAUCUCAUAAAACUAGUCUAAGUUCGGAUUGAGGUCUGCAAUUCGACCUCAUGAAGUUGAAAUCGCUAGUAAUCGCGCAUCAGAACGGCGCGGUGAAUUCGUUCUCGGACCUUGUACACACCGCCCGUCACACCAUGGGAGUGGGUUGCACCAGAAGUAGCUAGUCUAACCUUCGGGAGGACGGUUACCACGGUGUGAUUCAUGACUGGGGUG
rnacentral:rRNA from 1 species